rnacentral:rRNA from 1 species
AAAUUGAAGAGUUUGAUCAUGGCUCAGAUUGAACGCUGGCGGCAGGCCUAACACAUGCAAGUCGGACGGUAACAGGAAACAGCUUGCUGUUUCGCUGACGAGUGGCGGACGGGUGAGUAAUGUC